AUGCGCUGCUAUAAUGCAAGUUGAACGCUUGAUUUUCACCGAAGCUUGCUUCACCGAAAAUCAAGAGUAGCGAACGGGUGAGUAACGCGUGGGUAACCUACCUAUCAGCGGGGGAUAACUAUUGGAAACGAUAGCUAAUACCGCAUAACAAUGUUGGAUGCAUAUUCGACAUUUGAAAGUAUCAAUUGGUACACUGAGAGAUGGACCCGCGUUGUAUUAGCUAGUUGGUAGUGUAAUGGACUACCAAGGCGAUGAUACAUAGCCGACCUGAGAGGGUGAUCGGCCACAUUGGGACUGAGACACGGCCCAAACUCCUACGGGAGGCAGCAGUAGGGAAUCUUCGGCAAUGGACGAAAGUCUGACCGAGCAACGCCGCGUGAGUGAAGAAGGUUUUCGGAUCGUAAAACUCUGUUGUUAGAGAAGAACGUUGCAUAGAGUGGAAAAUUAUGCAAGUGACGGUAUCUAACCAGAAAGGGACGGCUAACUACGUGCCAGCAGCCGCGGUAAUACGUAGGUCCCGAGCGUUGUCCGGAUUUAUUGGGCGUAAAGCGAGCGCAGGUGGUUUAAUAAGUCUGAUGUAAAAGGCAGUGGCUCAACCAUUGUGUGCAUUGGAAACUGUUAGACUUGAGUGCAGUAGAGGAGAGUGGAAUUCCAUGUGUAGCGGUGAAAUGCGUAGAUAUAUGGAGGAACACCGGUGGCGAAAGCGGCUCUCUGGACUGUCACUGACACUGAGGCUCGAAAGCGUGGGUAGCAAACAGGAUUAGAUACCCUGGUAGUCCACGCCGUAAACGAUGAGUGCUAGUUGUUUGGGGCUAUCCAGCCCUAAGUGACGCAGCAAACGCAUUAAGCACUCCGCCUGGGGAGUACGACCGCAAGGUUGAAACUCAAAGGAAUUGACGGGGGCCCGCACAAGCGGUGGAGCAUGUGGUUUAAUUCGAAGCAACGCGAA
rnacentral:rRNA from 1 species